rnacentral:rRNA from 1 species
UACGAAGGGGGCUAGCGUUGUUCGGAAUUACUGGGCGUAAAGCGCACGUAGGCGGAUCGAUCAGUCAGGGGUGAAAUCCCAGAGCUCAACUCUGGAACUGCCUUUGAUACUGUCGGUCUAGAGUAUGGAAGAGGUGAGUGGAAUUCCGAGUGUAGAGGUGAAAUUCGUAGAUAUUCGGAGGAACACCAGUGGCGAAGGCGGCUCACUGGUCCAUUACUGACGCUGAGGUGA